UUCACUACCAAGAUGAAACGGUCCCGGUUCGGGCUGACCAAUAAUAAUAAGCAAAUGUCAGCUGGAUUCGACCAAGGGAAUGAAAGAUAAUAAAAAACCACAGAGAAACGAAAAUCGACGAUGAACGCCAUCAAGCAACGGAAUCAAUUCGAAAAAGCUAUUGAAAAACAGACGCAGCAACUGUCAUCGGACAAAUGAUUUGUAUUUUUGUUUUAGUUAUUUAUGUUUCAUAAAUUAUCGGAUGUAUCUUUUUACGAUAUUAAUUUUGCUCCGACUGCCCCUCAGCAUGGUCUCUAUGGGCCUCAAAACGGAUGCCGCGACUUGGUCUGCCUGCCGAUCAAGAUUUUAUUUAAAUGGAACUCAUCAACGCUCAUUUGGUGGGUCUGUGACUUCAUCUCCAUCCAUGUUGGAGCUUCGAUUCCCGCCUUUUGUUUUCUUUCCAUACUCCGUACUGAAAAGGGUAUAUACAUUAAAUGAUCAGCGAGUACUAACCUAACUAUACGAUCAUCAAGACCUAGGGAGCUUUCUGACGAUUUACUACUGGGUAUGCCAAAGUCUUAUUCCGACACAUUGAUACAGUUUUCCUCAGUUGCUCUUGUCCACAUUUCGAGGCUUUUGGGCCUCUCUCCCGGGUUCAGCCUUAAUUAUAGAGGUCGACUCUGCUGAUGAUGCCUUAAUGUCAACGUCGUCCCGCCGCCUGCUUCGUAGUUAAUUAAUGGACUUCGUCGUAUUAAACUCAUUAGUUCGCUUUCUGGGCAUAAUUUUAAUUAAUCACUCAAAAAUCCACGCACACGCAACCGCGGAGGAGACUGCGAUACAGAUUCGAGUAGAACGACAAACACGUUUGGAUCGCCUUAUCAGAAAGUCUUUGCAUAUUAAACGAUCUGCUGGCUACCUAAAAACACAAAUCGAAGUCGGAUCGCAGAUCCGAAAGAGAAUUCGAAUCGGAACCGAAAUCCAUAUUUAAACGAAAAUUAAAAUUCGCUGAACAGCGAACAGAUCGACAGAUUGUUCGUUACUCAAUCGAUUUUUAAUUUUAAAAUGAAAUAAAUCAAAAUUAAGAAAAAAGAACGCAAAAACGAACGCUCAAAAGAGACUCGCGC
ensembl:ncRNA lncRNA:CR44919 long non-coding RNA:CR44919